rnacentral:RNase_P_RNA from 1 species
UAAGUAAAUCAGAUAGUCGCAGGCUUAACCGCCUGAGGAAAGUCGGAGCUCCGCAGGGCAGGGUGCUGGAUAAUACCCAGUGGGGGCGACCCCAAGGCAAGUGCCACAGAAACAAACCGCCACAUCAGUGGUAAGGGUGGAAAGGCGAGGUAAGAGCUCACCAGCAGACAGGUGACUGUCUGGCUAGGUAAACCCCACCUGGAGCAAGACCAAAUAGGGGGACCAUAAAGCUGCCCGUUUUAGUCCCCGGGUAAGGUCGCUGGAAAUGGCAGGCAACUGCCAUUCAAGAUAGAUGACUAUCUAAUACAGAACUCCGCUUAUAGAUUUACUUAUUUU